UUCACUUUGGAAUGGGAUUCAGGAAGAACAUGCACUCCUGGAAACAUUCCCACCCUGCCAUUUUACUUCCCAAAGUCUCUGAGUAGAGAAGGAGCCAAUGGCAUGGACAGGGUGUUCAGCUUGGAUCCAAACCCUGGAAGACAAUGGAACCCCAUUGUGACUGACACAGAGAGCCACUGGAUGGCAGUGUGGGUCCAUGCAGAUGAAGUUUCACUUCCUGAGAGGCUGCAUGAAGAACGUUAUGGAGGGUGAUGGAGAGCUUGACGAGAGAGGUUUCUGUGGACUGACAGUGAAAACUAGUUGGAGCACAUUGAAAAAGAACACUGGGAGAUGUGUGGCUGGAGAGAUGGCUGAAAACAUAGAGUGUUUACUGCACAACAUGAACACGAGGGUUUGGAUCAUCAAAACCUACAUAAAAGCUGUAUAGGUCAGGUGGCAAGAUCUCUCAGAGAGUAAAGGUGCUGGCCACUAAGGCUGAAGACUUGUAGUUGAUUCCUGGAAUCCACAUCAUUGAUUGAAGGGAAGGAAUGGGCUCCUACAGAUCACCCUGUGACUGCCGCUCUUACAUAUGUCAUGCAUUUCUCAAUAAAGAUGAUUUAAAAAAAAAAAAAAA